ensembl:lncRNA
GUUUGUCUCUUGUCUUGAAGCUUUUGCUAAGCCUUUCUAUAAAUGAAGUGCAGCUUUACACUUGUGACUGAAGGGGGGCAGAACAGAGUACCUCUGUCAUUGUAGAUUCUUGCAGUUUUCUUAUAUUUUAGUAUCUGUCUCCUGUGGUUUCCUAAGACCUCCUGAAGAAAAAGUAUUAUUCAUAACAAUAAAGCCCCCCCCCUUUUUUUUAAUUUUUUUUUUUUUUUUUUUUUUUCCUCCAGCAUGUCAUCUCUUUUACAGAGAAUGCCAUAUCUUUGAUGUGUUGGGAAGCACUGCCUAUUGAACAGAGCAGUCAGAUGAAUACUUUCAGUAGAAUUAUGGAAAUACAAUAAAUCAGAGGAUUUAUUAAAGUCGUCUCCACAUGCAUCAAGUCCAUGCUCACGGCAUCCUGAAGGUAUCAUUCUUGUACCCGGCAAGUGCAUUGUCUAAGGAAAACACUAUUGCAAACAGGAAUCAACUAUUGCAAGAAUGCCUCUCAUUACUACGUCUUUGUGGCAUAGAAAUAAUUGCACAGGCCUUAAGUAAUACUGCUUCUCCUGACUCAGUUACAAAGUUGCUCUCUCCAGGAUGAGGAAGGAAGAAGUACAGGCAUGGGUGGGAAAGGUCAUGUCUUAUGAUGUGCCUGGAGGUGCAGCCACAUGAACACUGUUAUAGGCUGUUGCAAUGAUGGUGGAAAAGUCUGUACUAUUAAAGAUGGUAAUGAGAGUGAACUCCAAGGCACUGGAUUUCCAUCAGAAAGAAGCUUUAAUCUCUGACUUCUGUUUCCAUGUCAGAAUCCAGGACAACUAGUACUUCAUCACUGCAUCUGUCAGCAAAGAACUGACUUCCUAAAUCUGCAGAGCCAGAGGGAAGACAUAGUACAGUGUUAAGCUCAAGAGUGAAUAAUGUCUGUUCAAUUCAAGAUUGGGCUGGUAAUGUCAUGAAACAAAAGUCUCUUGAUAUACUGAUUUGCAAGGAUUUUUUUUUUUUUUCUGAUAUUAUUGCUACCUAAUAUAUUUUGUAUGUCUUUACACUUAAACUGAGUGUUAAUUCAUCUAAGAUUACACCUGUGGGUGCACCUUACUCUUCACAAAUGACUGUUUCAAGUCUCCAUUCCUUGUGGAUUCUUUCUUGCCUGCUGCUACUACCCAAAAUUUAAAGAUUUAAAUCUUGUUUUCAUGAACGAUGUGUGUAAAGAAAAUAUGAUACAUUGUAAAUGUAGGAAGCAGGUGGUGUAGAAACUUAUUAAAAUAGAGUAAUUGUAGUUGUUUUAUUAGUAGAGAUUUUGAGAGACUAAAUUUUGUAUGCAAGAUUUCUGAUAUCUGUCAGUGUUAGAAUGGGAACAGGGAAAAUCCACGAUACAUGUCAUUUGUUAGGUAUCAAUUAAAUAUUUAGAUUUCCCUGAACGUUUUCUUCAAAUUACUGCUUCUUCAUUUUUUUUUCCUUUUUUUUUUCUUUCUUUCUUUCUUUCUUUUUUUUUUUUUUUUUUUUUUUUUUUUUUUUCCCAGUAGACUCCUUAACUGGUGCUUUAUUUUUCUCUGAAAUGGAUUCAUUACAAUUUUGCAGUCAGGCAGCUACUUUUUUCCUGGAUG